rnacentral:rRNA from 1 species
GGGUUGUGAGGUUAAGCGACUAAGCGUACACGGUGGAUGCCCUGGCAGUCAGAGGCGAUGAAGGACGUGCUAAUCUGCGAUAAGCGUCGGUAAGGUGAUAUGAACCGUUAUAACCGGCGAUUUCCGAAUGGGGAAACCCAGUGUGUUUCGACACACUAUCAUUAACUGAAUCCAUAGGUUAAUGAGGCGAACCGGGGGAACUGAAACAUCUAAGUACCCCGAGGAAAAGAAAUCAACCGAGAUUCCCCCAGUAGCGGCGAGCGAACGGGGAGCAGCCCAGAGCCUGAAUCAGUGUGUGUGUUAGUGGAAGCGUCUGGAAAGGCGCGCGAUACAGGGUGACAGCCCCGUACACAAAAAUGCACAUGCUGUGAGCUCGAUGAGUAGGGCGGGACACGUGGUAUCCUGUCUGAAUAUGGGGGGACCAUCCUCCAAGGCUAAAUACUCCUGACUGACCGAUAGUGAACCAGUACCGUGAGGGAAAGGCGAAAAGAACCCCGGCGAGGGGAGUGAAAAAGAACCUGAAACCGUGUACGUACAAGCAGUGGGAGCCUCUUUAUGGGGUGACUGCGUACCUUUUGUAUAAUGGGUCAGCGACUUAUAUUCUGUAGCAAGGUUAACCGAAUAGGGGAGCCGAAGGGAAACCGAGUCUUAACUGGGCGUUAAGUUGCAGGGUAUAGACCCGAAACCCGGUGAUCUAGCCAUGGGCAGGUUGAAGGUUGGGUAACACUAACUGGAGGACCGAACCGACUAAUGUUGAAAAAUUAGCGGAUGACUUGUGGCUGGGGGUGAAAGGCCAAUCAAACCGGGAGAUAGCUGGUUCUCCCCGAAAGCUAUUUAGGUAGCGCCUCGUGAAUUCAUCUCCGGGGGUAGAGCACUGUUUCGGCAAGGGGGUCAUCCCGACUUACCAACCCGAUGCAAACUGCGAAUACCGGAGAAUGUUAUCACGGGAGACACACGGCGGGUGCUAACGUCCGUCGUGAAGAGGGAAACAACCCAGACCGCCAGCUAAGGUCCCAAAGUCAUGGUUAAGUGGGAAACGAUGUGGGAAGGCCCAGACAGCCAGGAUGUUGGCUUAGAAGCAGCCAUCAUUUAAAGAAAGCGUAAUAGCUCACUGGUCGAGUCGGCCUGCGCGGAAGAUGUAACGGGGCUAAACCAUGCACCGAAGCUGCGGCAGCGACGCUUAUGCGUUGUUGGGUAGGGGAGCGUUCUGUAAGCCUGUGAAGGUGUGCUGUGAGGCAUGCUGGAGGUAUCAGAAGUGCGAAUGCUGACAUAAGUAACGAUAAAGCGGGUGAAAAGCCCGCUCGCCGGAAGACCAAGGGUUCCUGUCCAACGUUAAUCGGGGCAGGGUGAGUCGACCCCUAAGGCGAGGCCGAAAGGCGUAGUCGAUGGGAAACAGGUUAAUAUUCCUGUACUUGGUGUUACUGCGAAGGGGGGACGGAGAAGGCUAUGUUGGCCGGGCGACGGUUGUCCCGGUUUAAGCGUGUAGGCUGGUUUUCCAGGCAAAUCCGGAAAAUCAAGGCUGAGGCGUGAUGACGAGGCACUACGGUGCUGAAGCAACAAAUGCCCUGCUUCCAGGAAAAGCCUCUAAGCAUCAGGUAACAUCAAAUCGUACCCCAAACCGACACAGGUGGUCAGGUAGAGAAUACCAAGGCGCUUGAGAGAACUCGGGUGAAGGAACUAGGCAAAAUGGUGCCGUAACUUCGGGAGAAGGCACGCUGAUAUGUAGGUGAAGUCCCUCGCGGAUGGAGCUGAAAUCAGUCGAAGAUACCAGCUGGCUGCAACUGUUUAUUAAAAACACAGCACUGUGCAAACACGAAAGUGGACGUAUACGGUGUGACGCCUGCCCGGUGCCGGAAGGUUAAUUGAUGGGGUUAGCGGUAACGCGAAGCUCUUGAUCGAAGCCCCGGUAAACGGCGGCCGUAACUAUAACGGUCCUAAGGUAGCGAAAUUCCUUGUCGGGUAAGUUCCGACCUGCACGAAUGGCGUAAUGAUGGCCAGGCUGUCUCCACCCGAGACUCAGUGAAAUUGAACUCGCUGUGAAGAUGCAGUGUACCCGCGGCAAGACGGAAAGACCCCGUGAACCUUUACUAUAGCUUGACACUGAACAUUGAGCCUUGAUGUGUAGGAUAGGUGGGAGGCUUGGAAGUGUGGACGCCAGUCUGCAUGGAGCCGACCUUGAAAUACCACCCUUUAAUGUUUGAUGUUCUAACGUUGACCCGUAAUCCGGGUUGCGGACAGUGUCUGGUGGGUAGUUUGACUGGGGCGGUCUCCUCCUAAAGAGUAACGGAGGAGCACGAAGGUUGGCUAAUCCUGGUCGGACAUCAGGAGGUUAGUGCAAUGGCAUAAGCCAGCUUGACUGCGAGCGUGACGGCGCGAGCAGGUGCGAAAGCAGGUCAUAGUGAUCCGGUGGUUCUGAAUGGAAGGGCCAUCGCUCAACGGAUAAAAGGUACUCCGGGGAUAACAGGCUGAUACCGCCCAAGAGUUCAUAUCGACGGCGGUGUUUGGCACCUCGAUGUCGGCUCAUCACAUCCUGGGGCUGAAGUAGGUCCCAAGGGUAUGGCUGUUCGCCAUUUAAAGUGGUACGCGAGCUGGGUUUAGAACGUCGUGAGACAGUUCGGUCCCUAUCUGCCGUGGGCGCUGGAGAACUGAGGGGGGCUGCUCCUAGUACGAGAGGACCGGAGUGGACGCAUCACUGGUGUUCGGGUUGUCAUGCCAAUGGCACUGCCCGGUAGCUAAAUGCGGAAGAGAUAAGUGCUGAAAGCAUCUAAGCACGAAACUUGCCCCGAGAUGAGUUCUCCCUGACUCCUUGAGAGUCCUGAAGGAACGUUGAAGACGACGACGUUGAUAGGCCGGGUGUGUAAGCGCAGCGAUGCGUUGAGCUAACCGGUACUAAUGAACCGUGAGGCUUAACCUUACAACGCCGAAG